ACGUAGGAGACAAGCGUUAUUCGGAUUUACUGGGCGUAAAGCGCGUGCAGGCGGUCUGACAAGUUGGAUGUGAAAGCUCCUGGCUUAACUGGGAGAGGUCGUUCAAAACUAUCAGACUAGAGAGUGGUAGAGGAAGGCGGAAUUCCGGGUGUAGUGGUGAAAUGCGUAGAUAUCCGGAGGAACACCAGUGGCGAAAGCGGCCUUCUGGACCAAUUCUGACGCUCAGACGCGAAAGCUAGGGUAGCGAACGG
rnacentral:rRNA from 1 species